GAUGAACGCUGGCGGCGUGCCUAAUACAUGCAAGUCGAGCGAACGGACGAGAAGCUUGCUUCUCUGAUGUUAGCGGCGGACGGGUGAGUAACACGUGGAUAACCUACCUAUAAGACUGGGAUAACUUCGGGAAACCGGAGCUAAUACCGGAUAAUAUUUUGAACCGCAUGGUUCAAAAGUGAAAGACGGUCUUGCUGUCACUUAUAGAUGGAUCCGCGCUGCAUUAGCUAGUUGGUAAGGUAACGGCUUACCAAGGCAACGAUGCAUAGCCGACCUGAGAGGGUGAUCGGCCACACUGGAACUGAGACACGGUCCAGACUCCUACGGGAGGCAGCAGUAGGGAAUCUUCCGCAAUGGGCGAAAGCCUGACGGAGCAACGCCGCGUGAGUGAUGAAGGUCUUCGGAUCGUAAAACUCUGUUAUUAGGGAAGAACAUAUGUGUAAGUAACUGUGCACAUCUUGACGGUACCUAAUCAGAAAGCCACGGCUAACUACGUGCCAGCAGCCGCGGUAAUACGUAGGUGGCAAGCGUUAUCCGGAAUUAUUGGGCGUAAAGCGCGCGUAGGGCGGUUUUUUAAGUCUGAUGUGAAAGCCCACGGCUCAACCGUGGAGGGUCAUUGGAAACUGGAAAACUUGAGUGCAGAGAGAAGAAAGUGGAAUUCCAUGUGUAGCGGUGAAAUGCGCAGAGAUAUGGAGGAACACCAGUGGCGAAGGCGACUUUCUGGUCUGUAACUGACGCUGAUGUGCGAAAGCGUGGGGAUCAAACAGGAUUAGAUACCCUGGUAGUCCACGCCGUAAACGAUGAGUGCUAAGUGUUAGGGGGUUUCCGCCCCUUAGUGCUGCAGCUAACGCAUUAAGCACUCCGCCUGGGGAGUACGACCGCAAGGUUGAAACUCAAAGGAAUUGACGGGGACCCGCACAAGCGGUGGAGCAUGUGGUUUAAUUCGAAGCAACGCGAAGAACCUUACCAAAUCUUGACAUCCUUUGACAACUCUAGAGAUAGAGCCUUCCCCUUCGGGGGACAAAGUGACAGGUGGUGCAUGGUUGUCGUCAGCUCGUGUCGUGAGAUGUUGGGUUAAGUCCCGCAACGAGCGCAACCCUUAAGCUUAGUUGCCAUCAUUAAGUUGGGCACUCUAAGUUGACUGCCGGUGACAAACCGGAGGAAGGUGGGGAUGACGUCAAAUCAUCAUGCCCCUUAUGAUUUGGGCUACACACGUGCUACAAUGGACAAUACAAAGGGCAGCGAAACCGCGAGGUCAAGCAAAUCCCAUAAAGUUGUUCUCAGUUCGGAUUGUAGUCUGCAACUCGACUACAUGAAGCUGGAAUCGCUAGUAAUCGUAGAUCAGCAUGCUACGGUGAAUACGUUCCCGGGUCU
rnacentral:rRNA from 1 species